AGCCCUUUGAAUAUUUAAAGGGUCCCGCCUGCCCAGUGGCUCGAGGCUAAACGGCCGCGGUAUCUUGACCGUGCAAAGGUAGCAUAAUCAUUUGUCUUUUAAAUGGAGACUUGUAUGAACGGCGAAACCUUUUUCAGCUGUCUCCCCUCCCACCCUUUCAAAUUUCCUCCUGUGUGAAGAAGCACAGAUAUUCCAGAAAGACGAGAAGACCCUGUCGAGCUUCAGCCGCUAAGCGAACAACAGUCUUUUUCAAGUAUCGCCCAAAGGCUUUGGUUGGGGCAACCACGGAGAAGAAAAACCCUCCAGAACAAACAGAAGAAAACCCUUCGCUAUUGACUACACUAAAGAACCAGGAACUGGUAUUCGGAAAAAGUUACCGCAGGGAUAACAGCGUCAUCUCCUUUAAGAGUUCUUAUUGACAAGGAGGUUUGCGACCUCGAUGUUGGAUUGGGGCCCCCUUAGGGUGCAGAAGCUCUAAACGGUUAGACUGUUCGUCUAUUAAAGCCCU
rnacentral:rRNA from 23 species